AUUCCAGACUCCUACGGGAGGCAGCAGUGGGGGAUAUUGGACAAUGGGGGAAACCCUGAUCCAGCGAUGCCGCGUGAGGGAAGAAGGUUUUCGGAUUGUAAACCUCUGUGGAGGGGGACGAUAAUGACGGUACCUGACCAAGAAGCCCCGGCUAACUACGUGCCAGCAGCCGCGGUAAUACGUAGGGGGCAAGCGUUAUCCGGAAUUAUUGGGCGUAAAGAGUACGUAGGUGGCAACCUAAGCGCAGGGUUUAAGGCAAUGGCUCAACCAUUGUUCGCCCUGCGAACUGGGAUGCUUGAGUGCAGGAGAGGAAAGCGGAAUUCCUAGUGUAGCGGUGAAAUGCGUAGAUAUUAGGAGGAACACCAGUGGCGAAGGCGGCUUUCUGGACUGUAACUGACACUGAGGUACGAAAGCGUGGGGAGCAAACAGGAUUAGAUACCCGUGUAC
rnacentral:rRNA from 1 species